GGGCAACCCUGGUGGCGAGUGGCGAACGGGUGAGUAAUACAUCGGAACGUGUCCUGUAGUGGGGGAUAGCCCGGCGAAAGCCGGAUUAAUACCGCAUACGACCUAAGGGAGAAAGCGGGGGAUCUUCGGACCUCGCGCUAUAGGGGCGGCCGAUGGCAGAUUAGCUAGUUGGUGGGGUAAAGGCCUACCAAGGCGACGAUCUGUAGCUGGUCUGAGAGGACGACCAGCCACACUGGGACUGAGACACGGCCCAGACUCCUACGGGAGGCAGCAGUGGGGAAUUUUGGACAAUGGGGGAAACCCUGAUCCAGCAAUGCCGCGUGUGUGAAGAAGGCCUUCGGGUUGUAAAGCACUUUUGUCCGGAAAGAAAACCUCUUGGUUAAUACCUGAGGGGGAUGACGGUACCGGAAGAAUAAGCACCGGCUAACUACGUGCCAGCAGCCGCGGUAAUACGUAGGGUGCGAGCGUUAAUCGGAAUUACUGGGCGUAAAGCGUGCGCAGGCGGUUUGUUAAGACAGAUGUGAAAUCCCCGGGCUUAACCUGGGAACUGCAUUUGUGACUGGCAAGCUAGAGUAUGGCAGAGGGGGGUAGAAUUCCACGUGUAGCAGUGAAAUGCGUAGAGAUGU
rnacentral:rRNA from 1 species